rnacentral:rRNA from 1 species
GUGCGGCGUGCUACCAUGCACUCGAGCGAUCUCUUCGGAGAGAGCGUCGGACGGGUGAGUAACGCGUGGGUAACCUGCCCUGUACACACGGAUAACAUACCGAAAGGUAUACUAAUACGGGAUAACAUANGAAAGUCGCAUGGCUUUUGUAUCAAAGCUCCGGCGGUACAGGAUGGACCCGCGUCUGAUUAGCUAGUUGGUAAGGUAAUGGCUUACCAAGGCAACGAUCAGUAGCCGACCUGAGAGGGUGAUCGGCCACACUGGAACUGAGACACGGUCCAGACUCCUACGGGAGGCAGCAGUGGGGAAUAUUGCACAAUGGGCGAAAGCCUGAUGCAGCAACGCCGCGUGAGCGAUGAAGGCCUUCGGGUCGUAAAGCUCUGUCCUCAAGGAAGAUAAUGACGGUACUUGAGGAGGAAGCCCCGGCUAACUACGUGCCAGCAGCCGCGGUAAUACGUAGGGGGCUAGCGUUAUCCGGAAUUACUGGGCGUAAAGGGUGCGUAGGUGGUUUUUUAAGUCAGAAGUGAAAGGCUACGGCUCAACCGUAGUAAGCUUUUGAAACUUAGAGAACUUGAGUGCAGGAGAGGAGAGUNGAAUNCNNG